AGCUUGACGGGGAGGCUGUUAUAGCUAGGGGGACAUGGCGUCUUACCAAACUAUGGCAAACUCCGAAUACCAGAAAGCUUCGCGCAGGAGACAGAGCACCGGGUGCUAACGUCCGGACUCAAAAGGGAAUCAACCCAGACCGCCAGCUAAGGUCCCUAAUAUCAGCUAAGUGGAAAACGAAGUGGAAAGGCUAAAACAGUCAGGAAGUUGGCUUAGAAGCAGCCAUCCUUCAAAGAAAGCGUAAUAGCUCACUGAUCGAGUCCUUCCGCGCGGAAGAUGUAACGGGGCUAAGUUGAUAACCGAAGCUGCGGAUUCAUACUUUGAGUAUGAGUGGUAGGGGAGCGUUCUGUAAGCCUGUGAAGGUGGAUCGUAAGGUCUGCUGGAGGUAUCAGAAGUGCGAAUGCUGACAUGAGUAACGAUAAAGCGGGUGAAAAGCCCGCUCGCCGCAAACCCAAGGUUUCCUGCUCUACGUUAAUCGGAGCAGGGUGAGUCGGUUCCUAAGGCCAGGCUGAGAAGCGUAGCUGAUGGAAAUCAGGUUAAUAUUCCUGAACCGACGUUGAAUGCGAUGGGGUGACGGAGCAGCCAGAGUGGACCGGGUGUUGGAUGUCCCGGCUUCCGAGCGAUGGGUGCCUGCAGGCAAAUCCGCAGGCGUAUACCCAGGACGAAGGAUCGGGCCUUCUUUUGAAGGCGAAGCCACUGGAAGCGCUUCCAGGAAAAACCUCUAAGCUUCAGUUCAACGGCGACCGUACCGUAAACCGACACAGGUGGGUGAGCUGAAUAUGCUCAGGCGCUUGAGAGAACUCGGGAGAAGGAACUCGGCAAAUUGACACCGUAACUUCGGAAGAAGGUGUGCCUUUGUAGCUUGACGGGAGAGAAACCCGGAGGGCGAAGAGGUCUCAGAGAAUCGGUGGCUGUAACUGUUUACUAAAAACACAGCGCUCUGCAAAGAUGAAAGUCGACGUAUAGGGCGUGAUGCCUGCCCGGUGCUGGAAGAUUAAUUGAUGGGGUGCAAGCUCCUGAUCGAAGUCCCAGUAAACGGCGGCCGUAACUAUAACGGUCCUAAGGUAGCGAAAUUCCUUGUCGGGCAAGUUCCGACCUGCACGAAUGGCAUAAUAAUGGCCACACUGUCUCCUCCCGAGACUCAGUGAAAUUGAAAUGUUUGUGAUGAUGCAAUCUCCCCGCGGCUAGACGGAAAGACCCCAUGAACCUUAACUGUAGCUUUGCAUUGGACUUUGAACCGAUCUGUGUAGGAUAGGCGGGAGGCUUUGAAGAAUGGACGCCAGUUCAUUCGGAGCCGUCGUUGAAAUACCGCCCUGAUUUGUUUGAGGUUCUAACCUGGGCCAGUAAUCCUGGCUGGGGACCGUGCAUGGUGGGCAGUUUGACUGGGGCGGUCUCCUCCUAAAGGGUAACGGAGGAGUGCGAAGGUACGCUAAUCACGGUCGGAAAUCGUGAGGAUACUGCAAUGGGAAAAGCGUGCCUGACUGCGAGACAGACAAGUCGAGCAGAUGCGAAAGCAGGUCAUAGUGAUCCGGUGGCUUCUGUAUGGAAGGGCCAUCGCUCAACGGAUAAAAGGUACUCUGGGGAUAACAGGCUGAUACCGCCCAAGAGUUCAUAUCGACGGCGGUGUUUGGCACCUCGAUGUCGGCUCAUCACAUCCUGGGGCUGUAGUCGGUCCCAAGGGUAUGGCUGUUCGCCAUUUAAAGUGGUACGUGAGCUGGGUUUAAAACGUCGUGAGACAGUUUGGUCCCUAUCUACCGCGGGCGCUGGAAGAUUGACAGGGGCUGCUCCUAGUACGAGAGGACCGGAGUGGACGCACCUCUGGUGUAUCGGUUGUGACGCCAGUCGCAUUGCCGAGUAGCUAUGUGCGGAAGAGAUAACCGCUGAAAGCAUCUAAGCGGGAAACUUGCCUGAAGAUUAGUCUUCCCGGAGGCUUGACCUCCCUGAAGGGUCGUCCGAGACCAGGACGUUGAUAGGCCAGGUGUGGAAGCGCUGUGAGGCGUGAAGCUAACUGGUACUAAUUGCCCGUGCGGCUUGAUCCU
rnacentral:rRNA from 1 species